rnacentral:misc_RNA from 1 species
GAGUUGGAUGCUCCAGAGGAACUUGAGAAAAAGGAAGAAAUCCCUAUUACUGAAGUGUUUGAUCCGGGCUGUGUACUUGUGGAGUUUAGAAGAGCAGAAGCUGCAUGCACGGCUGCUCAUUGUCUACAUGGACGACUGUUUGACGACCGAAUAGUGACUGUGGAGUAUGUUCCCCUUGAUCUCUAUCAGACAAAGUUUGCUAAACAAAACUAAUUUCUUUUGGCCCAUUCAAAACCUUAUGCAGAUCUCCCCAAACUUGAACGACGUUAACAUAGGAUUUCACAAUGCUUAACUGAAUGUUUGUUUGCAAUUUUUACCAUUAUUGAGAUGCCUUGGUGUUAACCCUUUUGUUAGUGCGAGAGUCGUACCCGAUUUGAAGCGGAAUACAUGUUUUCUCCCAGAUGUAGAAUGGGAUGAAGGAAUGAGCCAUU